AACCUUAUGGACCUGCGGGCGUAUACCUGCGGAAGGAUCAUUAUCGAGUUGCAAAACUCCAACCCUUUGUGAACAUACCUCAGUCGUUGCUUCGGCGGUGGACGGCCUGUUUUUCGGAACGGCCGGAAGCCGCCGGAGGUUCCAAACUCGUAUUUUUUUAGUGUAUCUCUGAGCCUGAAAACAAAUAAUCAAAACUUUUAACAAUGGAUCU
rnacentral:misc_RNA from 1 species